CCCCUAGAUGUUCUGGGCCGCACGCGCGCUACACUGAACAGUUCAACAAGUCUUAACCUUGGCCGAUAGGUCUGGGUAAUCUUUGAACGCUGUUCGUGACUGGGAUAGACCUUUGCAAUUAUGGGUCUUCAACGAGGAAUUCCUAGUAAACGCAAGUCAUCAGCUUGCAUUGAUUACGUCCCUGCCCUUUGUACACACCGCCCGUCGCACCUACCGAUUGAAUGGUCCGGUGAAAUCUCGGGACGGCGGCUUGGUCGCUUGCGUCCGACUGCUGAAACUUGAUUAAACCAUAUCAUUUAGAGGUAGGUGAAGUCGUAACA
rnacentral:rRNA from 1 species